rnacentral:rRNA from 1 species
UACGGGGGGGGCAAGCGUUGUUCGGAAUUACUGGGCGUAAAGGGUGCGUAGGUGGCGUGGUAAGUCGGGUGUGAAAUUUCGGAGCUUAACUCCGAAACUGCAUUCGAUACUGCCGUGCUUGAGGACUGGAGAGGAGACUGGAAUUUACGGUGUAGCAGUGAAAUGCGUAGAGAUCGUAAGGAAGACCAGUGGCGAAGGCGGGUCUCUGGACAGUUCCUGACACUGAGGCACGAAGGCCAGGGGAGCAAACGGG